AUGCUAUCGGGGUCCGAUUCAGCCAUGCUAGUUGUACGGGUUUAGACCCGUAGCAAAUAGCUCCGUAACACGUGGUCAAACUACCCUCUGGACCGGAAUACCCUCGGGAAACUGAGGCUAAUUCCGGAUACUGCUUUCAUGUUGGAACACAGAAAGUCGGAAACGGUCCGCCGCCGGAGGACGUGACUGCGGCCGAUUAGGUAGACGGUGGGGUAACGGCCCACCGUGCCGAUAAUCGGUACGGGUUGUGAGAGCAAGAACCCGGAGACGGUAUCUGAGACAAGAUACCGGGCCCUACGGGGCGCAGCAGGCGCGAAACCUUUACACUGCACGCCAGUGCGAUAAGGGGACCCCGAGUGCGAGGGCAUACAGUCCUCGCUUUUCGUGACCGUAAGAAGGUCUCAGAAUAAGAGCUGGGCAAGACCGGUGCCAGCCGCCGCGGUAAUACCGGCAGCUCGAGUGAUAGCCACUAUUAUUGGGCCUAAAGCGUCCGUAGCCGGCCGAACAGGUCCGUCGGGAAAUCCACCCGCUCAACGGGUGGACGUCCGGCGGAAACCAGUCGGCUUGGGGCCGGGAGACCAGAGAGGUACGUCCGGGGUAGGAGUGAAAUCCCGUAAUCCUGGACGGACCGCCGGUAGCGAAAGCGUCUCUGGAGAACGGACCCGACGGUGAGGGACGAAAGCUUGGGUCUCGAACCGGAUUAGAUACCCGGGUAGUCCAAGCUGUAAACGAUGCUCGCUAGGUGUGGCGUUGGCUACGAGCCAGCGCUGUGCCGUAGGGAAGCCGAGAAGCGAGCCGCCUGGGAAGUACGUCCGCAAGGAUGAAACUUAAAGGAAU
rnacentral:rRNA from 1 species